rnacentral:rRNA from 1 species
CCUACGGGGCGCAGCAGUAGGGAAUAUUGCUCAAUGGGGGAAACCCUGAAGCAGCAACGCCGCGAAUGAAGAAGGCCUUCGGGUUGUAAAAUUCUGUUAUAAGGGAAGAAAGGUGAUAGGAGGAAAUGACUAUCAAUUGACGGUACCUUAUGAGAAAGCCACGGCUAACUACGUGCCAGCAGCCGCGGUAAUACGUAGGUGGCAAGCGUUAUCCGGAAUUAUUGGGCGUAAAGAGCGCGCAGGUGGUUAAUUAAGUCUGAUGUGAAAGCCCACGGCUUAACCGUGGAGGGUCAUUGGAAACUGGU